AAAUAAAAGAUUAUUAAUUGUAUUUUGUAAUUUAGAUUUUUAAUAUAAAUAAAUUUAAUUUAAUAGUUUUUUGUAUUAUUUAAAGAUAAAAUAAUUUUUAUUAUAGUAAAUUAGUAUUGAAAAAGAAUUUUGAAAAAUUUAUUAUUUAAUUAAAAGUAAUAUUUAUUUUAUGUACCUUUUGUAUCAGGGUUUAUUAAUUAAAGAUUAAUGAUUUUAUGAUUCUCGAAUUUAAAGGAGCUAGUUUAAUAUGAUAGUUUAUGUGUUAUAAUAAUUAUAAAUAUUAAAUUAGUAAUGAAACGUUAUUCGUCUUUAAAGAUAUCUAGUUUUUUAAGAAAUAAAUUUAAUUUACAUAUUAAUAAUAUAAUGUUUUUUAUUUAAAAAUUAAUUAUUUGUUAAUAUGAAUAUAUUAAGGGAUAAGCUUUAAUUUAUUGGGUUAUAAUUUUAUAAAUUUAAGAAUUAAUUGUAGAUUUAGAAAUAGUUAUCAAUAAAGAUUUUGUAUUAAUUUAUAAAUGUUAUUUAAUAUUUUAUAAAAUUUAAUUUUAGUAUUAAAAUAUAUUUUUUAAUAAUAAAAAAGUAGAAAUAAUGAUGAAAUUAGUAUAUAUUAUUUAUUAAUUUUAAAAUUUAAUAAAAAUUAAUUUAAGGAAUUCGGCAAAAUAAUAUUCACCUGUUUAACAAAAACAUGUCUUUUAGAAAAUAAUUUAAAGUCUAACCUGCCCACUGAAUAAUUUUGAAGGGCCGCAGUAUUUUGACUGUGCAAAGGUAGCAUAAUCAUUAGUCUUUUAAUUGAAGGCUUGUAUGAAUGGUUGGAUGAAAUAUUAACUGUCUCAAAUUAAUAAAAUAGAAUUUAAUUUUUAAGUUAAAAAGCUUAAAUAAAAUUAGAGGACGAGAAGACCCUAUAGAUCUUUAUAUUUUUAUUUUUAAUUUUUAUUUAGAAUAAAAAAACAUUUUUAGUAAUAUUAAUAUUUUAUUGGGGUGAUAAUUAAAUUUAAUUAACUUUAUUUAAUAAAAACAUUAAUUUAUGAAUGAUUGAUCCAUUAUUAGUGAUUAGAAGAUUAAGUUACCUUAGGGAUAACAGCGUAAUUUUUUUAGAGAGUUCUUAUCGAUAAAAAAGUUUGCGACCUCGAUGUUGAAUUAAAGAUUAAUUUAGGUGCAGUAGUUUAAAUGUUUGGUCUGUUCGACCAUUAAAUCUUUACAUGAUUUGAGUUCAAACCGGCGUGAGCCAGGUUGGUUUCUAUCCUUAAUAAAAUAAAAUAUUUUAGUACGAAAGGACCAAAUAUUUAAAAAAUUUUUUUUUUGUGAGAAUAUUAUUA
rnacentral:rRNA from 1 species